CGGGACACGUGGUAUCCUGUCUGAAUAUGGGGGGACCAUCCUCCAAGGCUAAAUACUCCUGACUGACCGAUAGUGAACCAGUACCGUGAGGGAAAGGCGAAAAGAACCCCGGCGAGGGGAGUGAAAAAGAACCUGAAACCGUGUACGUACAAGCAGUGGGAGCACGCUUAGGCGUGUGACUGCGUACCUUUUGUAUAAUGGGUCAGCGACUUAUAUUCUGUAGCAAGGUUAACCGAAUAGGGGAGCCGAAGGGAAACCGAGUCUUAACUGGGCGUUAAGUUGCAGGGUAUAGACCCGAAACCCGGUGAUCUAGCCAUGGGCAGGUUGAAGGUUGGGUAACACUAACUGGAGGACCGAACCGACUAAUGUUGAAAAAUUAGCGGAUGACUUGUGGCUGGGGGUGAAAGGCCAAUCAAACCGGGAGAUAGCUGGUUCUCCCCGAAAGCU
rnacentral:rRNA from 1 species